rnacentral:tRNA from 1 species
ACGCCGAUGGUUCAGUUGUGGAAUGUUCGCCUGCCUCACGGGCUGUCCACGUUCAAUUCCUGGUCGGCGUA